CAACUCAGUCCUGGGGGACGUCAAUGCUAUUGUCAAGCAGGUAACACAACUCAGUCCUGGGGGACGUCAAUGCUAUUGUCAAGCAGGUAACACAACUCAGUCCUGGGGGAUAUAAAUGCUAUUGUCAAGCAGGUAACACAACUCAGUCCUGGGGGACGUCAAUGCUAUUGUCAAGCAGGUAACACAACUCAGUCCUAGGGGACGUCAAUGCUAUUGUCAAGCAGGUAACACAACUCAGUCCUGGGGGACGUCAAUGCUAUUGUCAAGCAGGUAACACAACUCAGACCUGGGGGAUAUCAAUGCUAUUGUCAAGCAGGUAACACAACUCAGUCCUGGGGGACGUCAAUGCUAUUGUCAAGCAGGUAACACAACUCAGUCCUGGGGAAAUCAAUGCUAUUGUCAAGCAGGUAACACAACUCAGUCCUGGGGGAUAUCAAUGCUAUUGUCAAGCAGGUAACACAACUCAGUCCUGGGGGACGUCAAUGCUAUUGUCAAGCAGGUAACACAACUCAGUCCUGGGGGAUAUCAAUGCUAUUGUCAAGCAGGUAACACAACUCAGUCCUGGGGGACGUCAAUGCUAUUGUCAAGCAGGUAACACAACUCAGUCCUAGGGGACGUCAAUGCUAUUGUCAAGCAGGUAACACAACUCAGUCCUGGGGGACGUCAAUGCUAUUGUCAAGCAGGUAACACAACUCAGUCCUAGGGGACGUCAAUGCUAUUGUCAAGCAGGUAACACAACUCAGUCCUGGGGGACGUCAAUGCUAAUGUCAAGCAGGUAACACAACUCAGUCCUAGGGGACGUCAAUGCUAUUGUCAAGCAGGUAACACAACUCAGUCCUAGGGACGUCAAUGCUAUUGUCAAGCAGGUAACACAACUCAGUCCUGGGGGAUAUCAAUGCUAUUGUCAAGCAGGUAACACAACUCAGUCCUGGGGGACGUCAAUGCUAUUGUCAAGCAGGCAUCUAAUAUGUGCCCCAUAUCUGUAUGUUACUGUAUUGCUGGGUCCUGGUGGUAUGCACAGUGGUCUGUAUUUACAGUGCAUUUAACAAGUCUCAAUACA